rnacentral:rRNA from 1 species
AGUUGGGCACUCUAGCGAGACUGCCGGUAAUAAACCGGAGGAAGGUGGGGAUGACGUCAAAUCAUCAUGCCCCUUAUGACCUGGGCUACACACGUGCUACAAUGGUUGGUACAACGAGUUGCGAGUCGGUGACGACGAGCUAAUCUCUUAAAGCCAAUCUCAGUUCGGAUUGUAGGCUGCAACUCGCCUACAUGAAGUCGGAAUCGCUAGUAACGCGGAUCAGCACGCCGCGGUGAAUACGUUCCCGGGCCUUGUACACACCGCCCGUCACACCACGAGAGUUUGUAACACCCGAAGUCGGUGAGGUAACCUUUUGGAGCCAGCCGCCUAAGGUGGGACAGAUGAUUGGGGUGAAGUCGUAACAAGGUAGCCGUAUCGGAAGGUGCGGCUGGAUCACCUCCUUUCUAAGGAA